AUACGGAGGAUGCGAGCGUUAUCCGGAUUUAUUGGGCGUAAAGCGCACGUAGGCGGCUUGGUAAGUCAGGGGUGAAAUCCCACAGCCCAACUGUGGAACUGCCUUUGAUACUGCCAGGAUUGAGUACCGGAGAGGGUGGUGGAAUUCCAGGAGUAGGAGUGAAAUCCGUAGAUAUCUGGAUGAACACCGGUGGCGAGGGCGGCAAGCUGGACGGUAAGAGCCGCGUGGGUGCAAAAGCAGGGGUAGCAUAAAGUUUAAGAUUACUGUGUUGAUCUCGAUUUAUAUUCUGGUAGUUAUAUUAUGGAAUGUAUGUCUCGGUGCAGUAGCUAAUGUGAUAAGCACCCCGCCUGGGGAGUACGGGCGCAAGGCUGCUACUCAAAUGUAUUGACGGGG
rnacentral:rRNA from 1 species